rnacentral:lncRNA from 1 species
UGGUGUUGUGGUCUCUGUUAUUUUGGUAUAUGGAUUUUGCCUUAGUUUUGUUUGUAUUGCGCGGGUGAUUCGGUUUUGUUGGUAUUGUUUUGGUGAUUGUUGUGCUUCUUUCUUACCAGUUUCCUUCUUGAUCAAGUUUGUCUAGGGUUUUGGCGAAUUAUAUGAUGUUUGCGAUGGAUUGGUGUGGUUUUCUUGGAUUUUCGGAUUGCUAAUUCAGAAUAACCUAAUUUCUUUUCCAAUUUCCUUUCUAUUAUUUAGCUUCUCUGGUAUUGAUGACCGAUUAUUUUCUUAUGCGUUUAUUCGUGACUGGCUAUUUGAUGUCGGAGACUUAUCAAUUUGGUGUGUUAUUUGUGUUUAUUCCUAUUUGGUGUGUUUAUCCUGAUUUCUCGAUGAGUUUCCUUUCUAUUACGUAAUUUCUCUUGAUUUGAUCACCAAACGUCGGAUUGAAUUUUCAAUUGUUUCUCUACGCAGCGUUGUUUGGAUUAUUUCCGUUUAGUGUUAUCAGCAUCUCAUGGAGCAUGUUAUGAGCGACCGUGUCUCCCUUGGUUUUUUUAAUUCUUAAAUUGAUCUAAUUUUUUAUAAACUGUGUCCUCUAUUACCAGUUAUAGUAUUACCAGUUAUAGUUUUCUUGAAUUCUUGUUCUUUGCAGAGAUGUGAGAGAUGUGUGGGUUAGGAUGUGCAAAACAGUGGCGGGAGAUUCCUUGAACAGUGAAGCAUUAGUUGUUCUUUUUACUCUUACAUUAAUUUUUUCUUUUGCAUUAAUUCUUGAUUGGAUGAACUUUCGGGUUUAUUUUUAUUUUUUUCUUCUUAGGCAUAACCAAAUUUAUAAUGGAAGGCCAAAGAAUCUCCAAUUUUAGGAGAUGAUCAUGACCACUGGAUGGAAUAAUGACAUUUGUUCUUUUAGCAGUUUCUACUAUGGUGAUCUUUAGGGAUAAAUUGAAAAGGGUAACAAGUAUAAGUAAAUUUAUUUUUUUCUUUGAUUACACAUUUGUUGGUUUCUUGACAUUUUGUGAACCCUUUUUUCUUGCAGUGUGAUUGGAGUAGUUUUGGGUCGGUAUUCUAUUUGAACUGGAUUUUGUAUUCUCAAAUUUGCUUUGUGUUUCCACUUCUCGUCGGUCUAGUAUGUUAUUCCCACCGCUUCAUACCAAGCUCUAACUUUAUGCCUGGUGUUCUGUUGAUAUUUCCAUAUCAGGAAUGGUUUGGAUAUGUUUUGAGUACUACGAUCUUCAAUGUGCUGGGGAUUAAACGUGAAAUGGCAACUGCACAAAAUAACAUAAUUUCUUGAAAUGUUUCCUCUACUAUUAUUUAACUUCGCUGGUAUUGAUAACCGAACAUUUGGAUUGAAUUGUGAUUUCUUUCGAUGCAGCAGGUUUGUCUUAAUCGAGCCUUCUGCGAAUACGUCUGCAUUGGUUUUUGUAUUCUUGAAUUUAUUAAUUCAUUUUAUCUUUUCUUAAAUUCUUGGUCUUUACGUGCAAGACAAGCAAUGGAUGUGGAAACUUUAGAAGGAGAUCCUAUGAAGCUUUAGGUUUUAUUACCCUUACAUCUUCUGAUGCGUUUAUAUUUACAUUGACGGAUAUCCAUUUGAAUUUGAAUACAGUUCUUCAUUUGAUUACGUCUAGGUGUUGAACUGUUUAUGUGUAGGUGUUGAACUGUUUAUGUUCAUUCCUUUCUUGCUUGUCGAGAAUCUAAGAUUGGUGGAGGAUUAAAAUCCCGCAGUGUUUACAUCGACCAACGAUUCAGGAUUACCUGAGUUCUUUUGAGUUUUCUUCUAUUUUUGACUUUCGGGAUUUUAUAACCUAAUAUGAUCACUCCUAAUUGUUUUCUUGAAUUGUUCGGCCUUACUGGGAACACAAUCGUGACUGACUUGUGAGCUAGGAUGUGGAAACUUUAGCCAGGGAAUCUGUGAAGCUUUAGGUUUUGCUUUCUUUUCUAUUAUCAUUUAUUGUUUAUGAAUAUCAGACUCUAACAAUAAAAAGUCACCUUAAUUGUCAGAUUUGCUCUUCUUUCUCUUUGAAAUGUCCUCUUGUAUGAGACUUCAUUUGCUGGAUGAGCAUUUAUAAAUUUAAAUGCUUGAUUUUUGCUCAAUCUUAAUCCCUUGCUGAUUUUAAACAGAACUGCUUUCAGAAUAAGAAUUGUUUGAGCGCUAUCAUCUACAUUGAAACGACAACUGCUCAAGAUAACUUUAAUUUCUUCUACUAUUUAACUUCGCUGGACUUGAUCAACGAACAUUAGGAUUGAAUUGUGAUUUGUUUCUCUGCAGAAGUGUUUAUAUUAGAUUCGUGCAGUGUACCUGCAUCUUAUAUAGUCUCUCGGAUCCUGUGGAGCUUUAGGUUUUGUUACCCACACAUUUCCUAAUGUGUUUUAUUUCUGGCAUUUGAUCACCUGACAUAAGGAUUUAACUGCCAUUUGUUUCUUCAGAGGUGUUUCGGUAUCUUUCGUUUCUACAUUUCGUUGGUCUAGCAUCAGUAUAUUUCUCCAGUAGUUCUGCUUGGCCUAGCAUCAAUAUUUCACCAAUAGUUCUGCUUGAUUUGGGUCGCUCUCAUUGAACUGAAGUCCAUCAAAUAUAAAAUGUUAGACAUUGAGUUCAAAUUAAGAUUAGCAUAUCAUGGAGCAUGUUAUGAGCGAUCUUGUCUGCCUUGUUUUUUUAAUUCUUAAAUUUAUAUAAUUUGUUCUAAACUUAGUCCUCUAUUACCAGUUAUAGUUUUCUUGAAUUCUUGUUCUUUGUAGAGAUGUGUGGGAUAGGAUGUGCAAAACAGUGGCAGGAGAUUCCUUUAACAAUGAAACAUUAGUAGUUCUUUUUACUCUUACAUUACUUUUUUUUUCUGUUGCAUUAAUUCUUGAUUGGAUGAACUUCUCGGUUUUAUUUUUAUUUUUUUCUUCUUAGGCAUAACCAAAUUUAUAAUGGAAGACCAAAGAAUAUCCAAUUUUAGCAGAUGAUCAUGACCACUGGAUGACAUUUGUUCUUGUAUCAGUUUGCUCUAUGGUGAUCUUUAGGGUAUCAAUAAAUUGAAAAGGGUAACAAGUAUAGGUAAAUUUAAGAUUGUUUUUAUUACGCAUUUUGUUGGUUUCUUUAAGGUUUUUGUGAACCUUUUUUUCUUGCAGUGUUCGUUCGACUAGUUUUGGGUCUGUACUCUAUUUUAGAAUGGAUUUUGGUGAUCUUUAGGGUAUGAAUACUUGUUAACGGUAACAAGUAUAGGUAAAUAUAAGAUUUUUUUUAUUAUGCAUUUGUUGGUUUCUUCUUGACAAUUUUGUGAACCAUUUUUUCUUGCAGUGUUCGUUCGACUAGUUUUGGGUCGGUAUUCUAUUUUAGAAUGGAUUUUGGUGAUCUUUAGGUAUGAAUAAAUUGAAAAGGGUAACAAAUGUAGGUAAAUUAACGAUUUUUUUUUAUUACGCAUAUUGUUGGUUUCUUGACGAUUUUGUGAACCUUUUUUUCUUGCAGUGUUCGGUCGACUAGUUUUGGGUCAGUAUUCUAUUUUAGACUGGAUUUUGUAUGCUCAAAUUUGCUUUCUGUUUCCACUUUUCCUCGGUCUAGUAUGUUCUUCCCUCCCCUUCAGUGAGUGUGUGGUUGGUUGUUGAUGCAGUAGGUGUCUUCUUACAUGAUUUGGUGAUCUCCACUAUUUAUCCUGAAUCUUGGAUUUUAAUUUGUACUACACACUGACCUCUAUCUUAUUGCUGGUUAUAUUUCUCAAUUUUAAUCCCUUGAUGAUUUGUUCAGUCUCAAAAAAAGCUCUAUAUUAGGUAAAUUUUAUGCCCGGUUCUAUUGUGUGAUCAUUCUGAACUUUUUCUUCUGUGAGUUUUGUUUUUUCCUUAUAUCCGUAUCAGGAAUGGUUCCAAUCUUCUGUGGAGUGGAGUAGUUUGAGCAACAAUAUUAGUUUGCAAUUGGAGGAUUACUCUCGGUACUUUUUAAUAUGAUCUAUACUAGUAUUUCCAAUUUAAUUGGAUAUCUUUUUUCUUAACAGUGCUUUUGGAAUAUAUGUUUGAGUACUACGAUCUACAUGAAGCUGGGUAUUAACAAUCAUUUCUGGAAUAUAUAGCAUAAUUUCUUCUAACUACUAUCAGUUGCCUGCUCAAGAUAAACUAAUUUCCUCUACUAUUAUUUAACUUCGCUGGAGUUGGUAACCGAACAUUUGGAUUGAAUUGUGUUUUCUUUCGCUGCAGCAGUUUUGUAUUAAUUUUGUGUACUGGGUGUGGAAAUUUUAGAAGACAAGUUCCGAGAGUUAUUGGCGUGGAAACUUUAGCAGGAGACCCUCUGAGCUCUAGGUUUUGUUACCAUUACAUUUUCUGAUGCGUUUUUUUUUUGCAAGGAUAUCUAUUUUGAAUUUGCGCGUCGAAAUAAGAUUGUUCGAGUAUUAAAAUCCUAAAUUUGUUUUUUUGGGAUUUGAUCACCUAACAUACAUGAUCACUGAAUUGUCAUUUGUUCCACCAUUUAUCUCAUCGAGCAUGCUGAAAGAUGACAUCUCCUUUUGAUGCUGUUUCCUUUUUGUUUUGAAGUUGUCUUAUUGUUUCUAUUCUUAGUCUUUUGAUUAGUGAAAUCUAUCAAAUCUAGCUGUUUGAUCUGUGAUUAUGUUCAUUCCUUUUCAGGUUAAAAAAUAAUUCUAAUGUUGAGGGGUAAUAUAAUUUUUUGGAUGAGUUUCCUUUCUGUCAUUUAAUAUCUUUGGACUGGAUCAUCAAAUAUAAGGAUUCAAUUGUGAUUUGUUUUCCGCAGCAAUGUUUGGUGGAUUUGUUUCGUGUAACAUUCCUCUCAUCGAGGAAAUCUUACAAGUGAAGACAUCUCCCUCUGAUUUUUCUACUUUGUAGUUUUCUUCAAUUUUUGGGCCUUACGGGGAAGACAACCAACUGAUAUGUGAGCUAGGAUGUGGAAGCCAGGGGAUCUGUGAUGCUUUAGGUUUUGUUACCCUUGCUUUUCUUAUGUCUUAAUCUUUGACUAGUUAAACUUAUGAUGCUUUAAUUUAAAGUCUUGUGUGAUUUAAUUUUGUAAAAGGGAAAGAGAAGAUAUGAGGGAAACAAAAUAUCAUGGCCAUUACAGUUUUGUCUCGAAGCUAUUUUUAAUUUAGACCUGCCGUUUCUCGAAGCUAUUUUUCUCAUCGCAAAAUUUAAUCCUCUUACUUUGCUUUCUUUUGUAUUUUCAUUUAUUGUUUAUGAAUAUCAGACUAUAACAAUAGUAAGUCACCUUAAUUGUCAGAUUUGCCUCUCUGAAUUGCUCAAUCGUAAUCCCUUGCUGUUUUUAAACAGCACUGUUUUGGAAUAGGAUUUGUUUGAGCGUGUUAUCAUCUACAUGAAGCUGGAACGUGAAACGGCAACUGCUCAAGAUAACCUUCUACGAGUUCGCCGGACUUGAUCAUCUAACAUUAGGAUUGUAUUCCUCUCUAUUAUUAUGUUUCUCUGCACUCGAUCACCGAACAUAAAGUUAUAAAUAAUUUGCGCCUAUUAACAUUUAUUUGUUUUUAUUUCUUUUACCCUUUUGGGAUCUUUUUUUUUGUACUACAGUGAUCCUCCUUUAAAUUGACAUAAAAUGGUGGUUGAAUAUAGAAAGAAAAACUCUUGCUAUGGAUAGGUCUGCAUCUUUGGAAGGUUAAAUUUCUUAUGCCGUAUUCCAAAUUCUAUUAAAAUUUCUCUCAAUGUUAAUUGAUUUAUCUUUA